rnacentral:rRNA from 1 species
GAUGAACGCUGGCGGUGUGCCUAAUACAUGCAAGUCGAGCGAACAGACGAGGAGCUUGCUCUUCUGACGUUAGCGGCGGACGGGCGAGUAAUACGUGGAUCACCUACCUAUAAGACUGGGAUAAUUUCGUGAAACCGGAGCUAAUACCGGAUAAUAUAUUGAACCGCAUGGUUCAAUAGUGAAAGACGGUUUUGCUGUCACUUAUAGAUGGAUCCGCGCCGCAUUAGCUAGUUGGUAAGGUAACGGCUUACCAAGGCGACGAUGCGUAGCCGACCUGAGAGGGUGAUCGGCCACACUGGAACUGAGACACGGUCCAGACUCCUACGGGAGGCAGCAGUAGGGAAUCUUCCGCAAUGGGCGAAAGCCUGACGGAGCAACACCGCGUGAGUGAUGAAGGUCUUCGGAUCGUAAAACUCUUUUAUUAGGGAAGAACAAAUGUGUAAGUAACUAUGCACGUCUUGACGGUACCUAAUCAGAAAGCCACGGCUAACUACGUG